AAUAAGAACGCAAAUCAAUGAGCAGGACAUCUAGAGAGCUGUCCGUUCCAACAUUCGCAGGACAUAGAGCAAAUGGUGUGCUGGACGAGGCUAUCAAGUGCAAUGUGAAUUCGGAACAGGAGCAAUGUUAAAACGGCGUUGGAAUAGAUGGCCACUUAGAUGACGAGAUUCCAAUAGCUCCGGACAGGACAGUGCAUAUAGUUGACAGCUCGUUGGCCAUAUCAAAUAUCCAAUAAUUAUCAACCCUACAUUACUCUUUAAAUGUAUUCGGUGUUGUGAUCAAAAGAAAAUACUUACAGGAGAUUGUUUAACCAGAUGGGGGAAAGUGACGACACAAUAACCAAAAAAAUAAAGACCAACCAAAAAAGUGUGGACAGUGCAACAAAAACAGCAAAUGACAGGGAAAAAGCGGAAGCAACGCAGAAGAGCAAAGUCUCCGUAUUGUUUUGGGGCUGCAGUUGAGACUGAAAAACGCCCGGAACGGAAAGUCAACAGAGUGAAUGCAGGGUACACAAGAAAGAACUUAAACAAAUUGAAUAUGAAUACACAGAGACGCAGAACAUACGAGUGUGCUUAUACUAGACUACAUCAAACAUUUGAAACGCUCGUGUGUUGGGGAAGCUCCGACCAGACAGGACUGGAAGUACACUAGUUGGAAACGUGACUAUGUCUGAGCCAAUGGAGGUGGCUAGUUCCCAACUAAUACUUGUCACAACAUCAACAAUAAACGGGAAAACGGAGACGAGGAAAAAGCGGCAGCGCCAAUGAAAUCAAUAAUUUUUGAGUGUCCUCAAGUGAUGGAGCAAACCAUUUCGCAGGACCUGUAUGUAUGGACUGUAUGACGGGUAAUCGGGAAAAGUAAGAUAUGCCGUCCGUACAUGGUAAGGGUAAAAAGGUAUCGGCUUGAACAUUGACAAACACACACUAACAACUGGUUGGUACCGACAACGACCCCCUUAAAGACAUGUCCCAAUUAAUGACUGAUCUAAGGGGUUUCAAAUUUAAGUGACACUGAAAGACCCGUCACAUAUCCCUCAUUAUGUUGUGCCCCUUUUGGGAAACAAGGGAGAGAGAUGUGUACGUUUGUAUUUACCUACAUUUGAUCUAUUUAGACCUUAUAUA